rnacentral:rRNA from 1 species
AUUGAACGCUGGCGGCAUGCUUUACACAUGCAAGUCGAACGGCAGCGCGGGCUUCGGCCUGGCGGCGAGUGGCGAACGGGUGAGUAAUGCAUCGGAACGUGCCCAGUAGUGGGGGAUAGCCCGGCGAAAGCCGGAUUAAUACCGCAUACGACCUGAGGGGGAAAGCGGGGGACCGAAAGGCCUCGCGCUAUUGGAGCGGCCGAUGUCGGAUUAGCUAGUUGGUGGGGUAAAGGCUUACCAAGGCGACGAUCCGUAGCUGGUCUGAGAGGACGACCAGCCACACUGGGACUGAGACACGGCCCAGACUCCUACGGGAGGCAGCAGUGGGGAAUUUUGGACAAAGGGGGCAACCCUGAUCCAGCCAUGCCGCGUGCGGGAAGAAGGCCUUCGGGUUGUAAACCGCUUUUGUUCGGGAAGAAAUCCUCUGGGCUAAUACCCCGGGGGGAUGACGGUACCGGAAGAAUAAGCACCGGCUAACUACGUG